ACUGCAGGAUGAACAAUCAAUAGAGAAAGAAAGAUAGAGCCACGCUCUGCCCCUGGAACUGCAACCAACAGCCGAGAUACUAUUUUUUGCAAUGGUUGACUAAAUAUGGUCAGGGAAGAGAGAGGCAGAAGAGAGUCUGUUUGCCUGGGAGUGGAUGUUUUGAAUGCUUAGCUGCCUAUAAAGCUGAAACAGUUUUGCUCGCUCACUCUGAGAGGCAAAUAGAUCCAGUCGAAAUAGCAUGUAUGUGGGAGCCCUGACCUUAACAACAUCUAUUUGACAUCUGAAGAUAGAAAAUAGCUACAACAAAUGUGGCUGGAAACUAAAACCCAAGGAAGAAGAGAGAAGAAGCGCAACAUCUGAAGUGAAGGAAGGGGGAAAUAUUUUAUUGGGAAGGGGUGGUGGAGAUGCAGGUGCAUGCUGAAUUUUUAAGAUUUCAUGAACAUUUUUUUAGUUGUUUUCAACUGACAAACAAGAAGAGUUUGCCCUGCUUUGGGUUUCCUAGCAGCCUUACCCUGGAUAUUUUACUUUCAGUCUUGCAGCCACAAGGAACUUGUUUCCACGUAUCCACAUAGCAGAUACCUAUUAAAAUUCCUGUUUAUGUUUUAGAUAGAACUAUUUUAGAAAGUGAAAUAUGUAUUCACUUUCACCUUCUCACUGCUCACCCUCCCACAUAAUGAAGAGCUGAUUCAGCGAAUAGAGUGAACACUCAAGAUGAGAUGGCUGCUGCUGAUGUCUCUCUCUAGGUCACUACCUCUCUUCCAACUGCAAAUGCUGCACGAUAAGCUUACAGCCUCCUGAAUGAACAGAAUUAAAUAUGGAUGCAGACAGCCAGCAAACCAAGCUCAAAGUGGAGUACAACAUCCCAUUUCAUGGAUAUAAUUGGCACAGCCAACUUUUGAUGAAGGCAGAUUAUUCUUCAUAUGCAAGCUUAAUUGACAGUAAGAAGCAACGGAAGUCUAGACAAGUACUUGAAAUCCUCAUAGACAAACAAUGACUUUUAAUAUGCUUUAAACUACUGUGCAGGUAAACUACACUGUGAAUUUUAGCUUCACCAGCAGAUUAAAACAAAACCAGUUCCUGAAAUUAAUUGGGAACAAUUAUUUUGCACCUAAGGAUAAAGAAAAAAUGUUUUCAGUUUCAACCGGCAAUAAGCAGCUGUUAAAGCCUGUCCAGAGCACAUACUUCUUUAUGUACCCAUAUGCAGAUACAAUAUUAUGGAAUGUAAAGAAGUAUGUAUUUUUGGCAGGUAUGAACUACAACUAAAAGAAAAAUGAACUAAGCUGAUCAAAGAAUAAGGAAUCCACUUUAGUCGUAUUUGGGUGAAAGGAUCAGGUGAAUAGUAGUACAAUUUGUGAAACAUUAACAUUUGUCUAAGUGUUGCAUAUAUCUUCAUUGUCAGAGCAAUAUUGGUUGUAGAAGCAGAUACUUUAUUUUCAAUCCUAAAUCUAUCCUAAGAAAAUAAAAUCAACAUCACUAGAAUAAACAAUAAAAACAUAACACUUGUGUAAGCAUUUAGGUGCGAGAAGAUCACUACUAAUCAAUUGAGGGUCAUAACCUUUUAAAAAAAUAUAUUUUUUAGCUGAAAACUCAGGGUAAGUGGAUUUGAUAUUAUGGCACAAUGACAUCUAGGCCAUAAGGCACCAUAUACUUGCUUAUGUUGCAAGCAGCCUCUCUAAAUUCUCAUUCAAUUCAUGUGUAAAGCUUUCAUAUGUCAGCAACCAGAUGUCUUUAGUUCCCAAAGGCUUAAACUGAGGAAAGCCAAUUGUUUUCAAAAAUCAGAAGAAUGCUAAUUAAAAUUUUGAGAAAUUUAAAAAUGGUAGAUUAAAUCUGAAUAUCAUGAGGCAAAAUUUGAACCACAAAGUUUGAAAUUAACUUGUUAUUUGUUAAACAGAUUUUUUUAAUGAAUAGUUAAUAAAUGAAAUGCUUGCUCUACCCCUAAACUAUUACUUGCAAGAACCAGGUAAAACCUGAAAAAACAAGAGCUGAAGCCUUAAAGAAACAUUCAUAAUACAUAUAUGAACUCAGCUCAUAUUAACAUUUCAUAUAUCAAACAAUUCAUAAGUAGUACAGAUUCUCAAAACCAAAUUCUAGCUGUUACUAAAUGGAGCAAUGUUAAAAAUAUCAAAAGUUUUCAAAUUCGGAUUAUAUUAAAGAUGUGAAUGUUUCUCAUUAUGUAGAUUUGAAAUUGAAAGUUUUUUGUGUUUUUUGUGUAUGUUUAAGCACAUUUUGUUUUAGCCAGCAACCAAUAUUCAAAGAUAGUUUGUAAAGUAACACUGGUAUUAUAACUAAAACUAUAAUCAACCAAUUUAUAAUCUUAAGAGCAGAAUUCACUAGCAGCAAAGGAAGAAAACCUUGCUUAUUUCUAUGGAGUACUGCCCAUUUCUAGAAAUAGUGCACCUGAGCAACAAAUUAAAGAUUAACUUUUGAAGGCUCACAUUCUUAAACCUGAGCAUUAACAUGAGUCAGACUUUGCACCUUUUCCUGCACCAGUAUUGUAAACAAGCAGCAAAACAAACCUUAGAUAAAAAAUCACAUAGAACUCGGUAAAGUCUUGUUUCUCUUAGAACAUAGCCACACUAUGUCAUCUCCAUCACUUAGGUCAGCUGUUGAAUUCUAGCUAAGCACAAGCUGAACUCUGGACAUCUGCUGACACAGUUGUAACUCAAACAUCUCAACCAUUUGACUGACAAGGAUAACAGAUGCUGACAUUAUCAAAUGCUACCAUGCUUCUUUCCAUGGCCACUUUUUAUCCUGAUAUAGCCAGUACAUGAAACUAUUGCCAUCCAAAAGAACACUCGAGCAGCUGGACCUGUACAACAGUUUCCAUAUAGCUGAUAAAAAUAGAUACCAGUUUUAUUGCUGCUCAAGGUUUAAGCCAAAUAUGUGCUGUUUCUAUAUUUAAUAACAAGGAAUGAGUGCAUAUUUACAGAAAUCUCAUCACCACCAGGACACUUUGCAACAAAGCUGGCAGGAUACAUUUAAUGUAUGCAUUAUUAAUAUACAAGUUGAAUAUUAUCCUUCCUUUCAUUUGGCUCAGUGUUUAAAUAUCAUAUUGAUUUACUGCAUGUACUGACAUUUCUUCAAAAUCAAAAGUGUAUGCACUUUUAACUCUGAUAUCAAGGGUUAUGUAUUAUGAUAAUUGAAACAACAAGGAGGUAAGAACUGUUUAUGUACACACACACACACACACACACACACACACACACACACGUUCUAUAUUGAAUGAACAUUACUACAGAAAAGGCCUUAUAGAACACAGAAAUAUGAACCAAGUUUGUUCCAAAGUACAACUGUAGAAGCAUUUGUUCAACACCACUAGCAAGCUAACAUUGCUCAUUCUUCACCUUCCCGUAAUCAGUUCUCUGUCAACAGCUGCGGUAAUUAAAUGUGGCAGAAGCAAACUUAUAUAAAAAUAGUAUUCUCUUUAACUGAAGUAAUCCCCUUGGGAGAUAAAUAUGAUACCCGAUAGCCAAGAAAAACACAUUACUAGUAUUAAAUAGUUCAACAUUCAUGAGAACAUUAAAUUUUAAGGCCAUGACUUAAAAUCUUCUGUUAUGAAUCUUCUGUUAUGAUUAGAAGUUGUGAUCACAAAAAGCAUACAAAGAGAACAAAACCAACUAUUACAAGCCACGAAAGUGUUUUCUCCUAUUGUUUAACAUAUGGAGUUUUGCUUUUUUGAACUUUUUAGAUGAGCCAUUUAGGGAAACUUUGGAAAAUUGCAAAUUUAAAAAGGAAUACUGCAUACAGAUCUUGUAUUCACACAAUAACACUUUUAUGAACACAACAUGGAAACCAAUUGUAUGCCUCUUAAACUUCAAUGCUUUGCUAAAGCUGGUAAAAUGGAACCAAAUCACUUGUUUAAUGGAUUUGGUCCCCUUCAACCAGCUGUAGCUAUGUAUUGAUCACUACAGGACAAAUGCUUUCAUCAACAAGAUAUGUUAAUAAUGGAAAUAAGAAAAUAUUCAAGAAAAAGAAGGCUUUUAAAAAGCAGUCAAGCACAUGAAUGCAAACAAACUAUCAAAAACUGACCACCAGCAUCUAUUCCUGGCAAACUUAUAGUAGGGACCUCACUUCCAAACCAAAAUCCACAAUAUUGGAAAUUGUGUCUCAUCUGCACAUUCUUAUUGUAUAUCAAUAUGAAUUUGAGAUUAACAGUUCCUCUUGUUUUAUGUCACUGCUUUUUUUAAAAAAAAGAGUACAUGUAUGUCAGUUCUUAUGAAAUAAAUGCAAAAUACAUGUAAAUAUAUUUGUGCUACAAUUCCUCUAUUUUAAUACAAUCUUUGUAAAAUUCAGAUUAAGUUUAAAGAGUAGCGAGCAUUCACUAAGACCUCUUUUCUAUUGUGUUCUACAAAAAUUAACAAAGAUGAAAACGAAACCUGAGUGUUUUUUCAACACCAAAGGGCCAAUACAGAUAUCAAGCUUAAGAUGAGAUGAAUCUGUGAUAGUAGUACUCUUUCACAAAGGCAUUAUGGGAUCAAAAAAUAUCCUAUUAAAUCAGGUCAAAUUGAUACAGUUAACAUGCAACUAUUAUAGAUCAUUAUAGAUCAUUAUAGAUCACUAUUAUAGUAACUAAUAGCAUUACUCCAGGGCUGAAGCAGUAGGAUCUAAGACUGAGUUGAUAAGCUUGUUAAUAAAUUCAAAGAAGAGUAGGGGAAAGCAUUGCAAGCAGUCUAAUUUUAUAGUUAUCACAUGACUGGAAGUACACGGUAAGUAGAAUAGCUUUUACUAAAGGUUUGGGAAAGCAAUCAGUGUCCAGAUAAAAAGUAAUUGUGUAAGCAACGGGAACAAAUUAAGCAAACUUAAGUACACUGUAAACUUAAGUACAUCUUUCUGGAAAUAAAUCCCAUUGAGCUUAAUGAGUUUAAGUUCUGAGCAGACAUGAAGAGCAUUCACUUUUAAAUUAACUAUGACCUGGAUUGCACAUAAUACUAAAACAGACUAUGAUUUAGCACAUGAAGCGGAGACUGCAGCUGCUUUGCUUCUCUAUCCAGUCAUGCUGGUGCUGUGAACUAAAAUGUGGUUUGGUUUAACAUGUCAUCUGAAAUCAGGCUCAUAGUUUCUCUUUCUUGACAAAUCACGAGCUGCAAACCUUCAAUAAACUUUGUUACAGCUCAUGAUUUGUCUGGAGCUAAGCAAAACCAUUCCUAAAUUCACAGCAGAAAGAAAACCGGAGGAGGAGCAAAGCAGCUACAAUCUCUUUUCCAGGAACCAGCAUGCAAAGCAAAGCUAUAAUUCUAAGAAAUGCUAAGAUUUCUAGAAAAAUAUUAAAUGCCAAGAUCCUGGCAUUUAUUUAAACAUCACCUUUUAAGAUACAAUUAUAGGACCCAAAUUAGAAUGGGAGAGAUGAACUAAUUGUUUCUAUUGAAAUACAUUGUUGUGAGUUCGUGCAGCAAAGAAACAAUACAUUUACAACAUAGUUAAAAUAUUGCUUUCAUUUUCUCUGAACAGGAGCACACACACACAUACACGAGUCAUACACAAAUGGUUAAUAUUUUUUAAAUAAAAAAUGAAAAUGAAGGCCGCACCACACAGAUGCAGAGAUUGUCUAUGCCAAGCAAAAUGUCCUGAAUUUCUUGCCCACUGGGGCCAACUAUCCCAACUCUGGGCCCAUUAUGUAAGCAGACAUUUUUACAGGGUCUAUGUGCAUAAAACUCAGUGCAUACAUAACUGAUGAUAUAAGGAUCUUGCUAGUGUAAUUAUUUAGUUACAGUAACUUGUGGACUAUUGCAAUGGACUCAAUUUGGGGCUGUCCUUGAAGACAAUUCAGAAACUUCAAUAGGUCCAAAAUGCAGCAGAUUACUAGCUGGGGUUCUAUUUAAAAGUCUUAUAACCUCUGUUUUAAAACUGCUGCAGUGGCUGCCAGUUCAUUUACAGGCGCCCAAUUCAAGGCGGUCAUAUUAAUGUUUAAAGCUCAACUAAGGGCCAAUAUCUGAUCUUUCUGCCAACCUCCAUCCUUACUGGCCUUUUCAGGUGUUAAGAUAUGCAGAGGAAGGUCUCUUUGUAGUUCUAUCACCAGCCACCAUAUAGGGGCAUGGAAUUUCCUGCUCAAGGGCAGAGCAGCAGGCCAUCCAAAGCUAUAAAAGUUUCCAAAUGCUGCUUUGCACAGUGCAGAUCCCAUAUAAUCUCUUCUAAUAUAUAUUUUUCUUAGGCUGUCUUCACGCUAGUUUCCUGUGGCAUCUACCAACAGGUGUACCUACAGCAUAGCUGUCAAGUUUUCCCUUUUCUUGCAAGGAAGCCUAUUCAGCAUAAGUGAA